rnacentral:rRNA from 1 species
UACGGGAGGCAGCAGUAGGGAAUCUUCCGCAAUGGGCGAAAGCCUGACGGAGCAACGCCGCGUGAGUGAUGAAGGUCUUCGGAUUGUAAAACUCUGUUGUUAGGGAAGAACAAAUUUGUUAGUAACUGAACAAGUCUUGACGGUACCUAACCAGAAAGCCACGGCUAACUACGUGCCAGCAGCCGCGGUAAU